GACGAACGCUGGCGGCGUGCCUAAUACAUGCAAGUCGAACGCACUCUCGUUAGAUUGAAGAAGCUUGCUUCUGAUUGAUAACAUUUGAGUGAGUGGCGGACGGGUGAGUAACACGUGGGUAACCUGCCCUAAAGUGGGGGAUAACAUUUGGAAACAGAUGCUAAUACCGCAUAAAACCUAGCACUGCAUGGUGCAAGGUUGAAAGAUGGUUUCGGCUAUCACUUUAGGAUGGACCCGCGGUGCAUUAGUUAGUUGGUGAGGUAAAGGCUCACCAAGACCGUGAUGCAUAGCCGACCUGAGAGGGUAAUCGGCCACACUGGGACUGAGACACGGCCCAGACUCCUACGGGAGGCAGCAGUAGGGAAUCUUCCACAAUGGACGAAAGUCUGAUGGAGCAACGCCGCGUGAGUGAAGAAGGUUUUCGGAUCGUAAAACUCUGUUGUUGGAGAAGAACGUAUUUGAUAGUAACUGAUCAGGUAGUGACGGUAUCCAACCAGAAAGCCACGGCUAACUACGUG
rnacentral:rRNA from 2 species